rnacentral:tRNA from 1 species
CAGGACGUAGCUAUAAACUAAAGCAUUCAGCUUACACCUGAAAGAUGUCCAUAAACCCAAGACCGUCCUGA